UGCAAGUCGAGGGGCAGCAUGAGGUAGCAAUACCUUGAUGGCGACCGGCGCACGGGUGAGUAACACGUAUCCAACCUGCCUCAUACUCGGGGAUAGCCUUUCGAAAGAAAGAUUAAUACCCGAUGGCAUAGUUCUUCCGCAUGGUAGAACUAUUAAAGAAUUUCGGUCAUCCGAUGGGGAUGCGUUCCAUUAGGUUGUUGGGGGGUAACGGCCCACCAAGACUACGAUGGAUAGGGGUUCUGAGAGGAAGGUCCCCACAUUGGAACUGAGACACGGUCCAAACUCC
rnacentral:rRNA from 1 species